AUUGAACGCUGGCGGCAGGCCUAACACAUGCAAGUCGAACGAGUGGCGGACGGGUGAGUAAUGUCUGGGAAACUGCCCGCUGGAGGGGGCUAACUACUGGAAACGGUAGCUAAUACCGCAUACCAUCGGAUGUGCCCAGAUGGGAUUAGCUAGUAGGUGGGGUAAUGGCUCACCUAGGCGACGAUCCCUCGCUGGACUGAGAGGAUGACGAGCAACACUGGAACUGAGACACGGUCCAGACUCCUCCGGGAGGCAGCAGUGGGGAAUAUUGCACAAUGGGCGCAAGCCUGAUGCAGCCAUGCCGCGUGUAGGAAGAAGGCCUUCGGGUGGUAAAGUACGUUCAGCGGGGAGGCGUUACCCGAAGAAGAAGCACCGGCUAACUCCGUGCCAGCCGCCGCGGUAAUUC
rnacentral:rRNA from 1 species